AGUAAUAGUAUAAGUGAAGUGCCUGAUUUGAAAGGAUAAUUUUGAUAGAAUUAAUCAUGUGUAUUACGCCUUCAUUAA
rnacentral:tRNA from 1 species